AUAGCAUAUCAGAAGGCACACCCGGAGAACUGAAACAUCUUAGUACCCGGAGGAAGAGAAAGAAAAUUCGAUUCCCUUAGUAGCGGCGAGCGAAACGGGAAGAGCCCGAACCAACAAGCUUGCUUGUUGGGGUUGUAGGACACUCUAUACGGAGUUACAAAGGACGACAUUAGACGAAUCAUCUGGAAAGAUGAAUCAAAGAAGGUAAUAAUCCUGUAGUCGAAAAUGUUGUCUCUCUUGAGUGGAUCCUGAGUACGACGGAGCACGUGAAAUUCCGUCGGAAUCUGGGAGGACCAUCUCCUAAGGCUAAAUACUCUCUAGUGACCGAUAGUGAACCAGUACCGUGAGGGAAAGGUGAAAAGCACCCCGGAAGGGGAGUGAAAUAGAACCUGAAACCGUGUGCUUACAAGUAGUCAGAGCCCGUUAAUGGGUGAUGGCGUGCCUUUUGUAGAAUGAACCGGCGAGUUACGAUUUGAUGCAAGGUUAAGCAGUAAAUGUGGAGCCGUAGCGAAAGCGAGUCUGAAUAGGGCGUUUAGUAUUUGGUCGUAGACCCGAAACCAGGUGAUCUACCCUUGGUCAGGUUGAAGUUCAGGUAACACUGAAUGGAGGACCGAACCGACUUACGUUGAAAAGUGAGCGGAUGAACUGAGGGUAGCGGAGAAAUUCCAAUCGAACCUGGAGAUAGCUGGUUCUCUCCGAAAUAGCUUUAGGGCUAGCCUCAAGUGAUGAUUAUUGGAGGUAGAGCACUGUUUGGACGAGGGGCCCCUCUCGGGUUACCGAAUUCAGACAAACUCCGAAUGCCAAUUAAUUUAACUUGGGAGUCAGAACAUGGGUGAUAAGGUCCGUGUUCGAAAGGGAAACAGCCCAGACCACCAGCUAAGGUCCCAAAAUAUAUGUUAAGUGGAAAAGGAUGUGGCGUUGCCCAGACAACUAGGAUGUUGGCUUAGAAGCAGCCAUCAUUUAAAGAGUGCGUAAUAGCUCACUAGUCGAGUGACACUGCGCCGAAAAUGUACCGGGGCUAAACAUAUUACCGAAGCUGUGGAUUGUCCUUUGGACAAUGGUAGGAGAGCGUUCUAAGGGCGUUGAAGCAUGAUCGUAAGGACAUGUGGAGCGCUUAGAAGUGAGAAUGCCGGUGUGAGUAGCGAAAGACGGGUGAGAAUCCCGUCCACCGAUUGACUAAGGUUUCCAGAGGAAGGCUCGUCCGCUCUGGGUUAGUCGGGUCCUAAGCUGAGGCCGACAGGCGUAGGCGAUGGAUAACAGGUUGAUAUUCCUGUACCACCUAUAAUCGUUUUAAUCGAUGGGGGGACGCAGUAGGAUAGGCGAAGCGUGCGAUUGGAUUGCACGUCUAAGCAGUAAGGCUGAGUAUUAGGCAAAUCCGGUACUCGUUAAGGCUGAGCUGUGAUGGGGAGAAGACAUUGUGUCUUCGAGUCGUUGAUUUCACACUGCCGAGAAAAGCCUCUAGAUAGAAAAUAGGUGCCCGUACCGCAAACCGACACAGGUAGUCAAGAUGAGAAUUCUAAGGUGAGCGAGCGAACUCUCGUUAAGGAACUCGGCAAAAUGACCCCGUAACUUCGGGAGAAGGGGUGCUCUUUAGGGUUAACGCCCAGAAGAGCCGCAGUGAAUAGGCCCAAGCGACUGUUUAUCAAAAACACAGGUCUCUGCUAAACCGUAAGGUGAUGUAUAGGGGCUGACGCCUGCCCGGUGCUGGAAGGUUAAGAGGAGUGGUUAGCUUCUGCGAAGCUACGAAUCGAAGCCCCAGUAAACGGCGGCCGUAACUAUAACGGUCCUAAGGUAGCGAAAUUCCUUGUCGGGUAAGUUCCGACCCGCACGAAAGGCGUAACGAUUUGGGCACUGUCUCAACGAGAGACUCGGUGAAAUCAUAGUACCUGUGAAGAUGCAGGUUACCCGCGACAGGACGGAAAGACCCCGUGGAGCUUUACUGUAGCCUGAUAUUGAAAUUCGGCACAGCUUGUACAGGAUAGGUAGGAGCCUUUGAAACGUGAGCGCUAGCUUACGUGGAGGCGCUGGUGGGAUACUACCCUAGCUGUGUUGGCUUUCUAACCCGCACCACUUAUCGUGGUGGGAGACAGUGUCAGGCGGGCAGUUUGACUGGGGCGGUCGCCUCCUAAAAGGUAACGGAGGCGCUCAAAGGUUCCCUCAGAAUGGUUGGAAAUCAUUCAUAGAGUGUAAAGGCAUAAGGGAGCUUGACUGCGAGACCUACAAGUCGAGCAGGGUCGAAAGACGGACUUAGUGAUCCGGUGGUUCCGCAUGGAAGGGCCAUCGCUCAACGGAUAAAAGCUACCCCGGGGAUAACAGGCUUAUCUCCCCCAAGAGUUCACAUCGACGGGGAGGUUUGGCACCUCGAUGUCGGCUCAUCGCAUCCUGGGGCUGUAGUCGGUCCCAAGGGUUGGGCUGUUCGCCCAUUAAAGCGGUACGCGAGCUGGGUUCAGAACGUCGUGAGACAGUUCGGUCCCUAUCCGUCGUGGGCGUAGGAAAUUUGAGAGGAGCUGUCCUUAGUACGAGAGGACCGGGAUGGACAUACCUCUGGUGUACCAGUUGUCGUGCCAACGGCAUAGCUGGGUAGCUAUGUGUGGACGGGAUAAGUGCUGAAAGCAUCUAAGCAUGAAGCCCCCCUCAAGAUGAGAUUUCCCAACUUCGGUUAUAAGAUCCCUCAAAGAUGAUGAGGUUAAUAGGUUCGAGGUGGAAGCAUGGUGACAUGUGGAGCUGACGAAUACUAAUCGAUCGAAGACUUAAUCAA
rnacentral:rRNA from 1 species